UCAGGAUCAAUAACUCCUGGAUGGACAA
rnacentral:piRNA from 1 species